rnacentral:rRNA from 1 species
GCAUGGCUGUCGUCAGCUCGUGUCGUGAGAUGUUGGGUUAAGUCCCGCAACGAGCGCAACCCUUGUCAUUAGUUGCUACGCAAGAGCACUCUAAUGAGACUGCCGGUGACAAACCGGAGGAAGGUGGGGAUGACGUCAAGUCCUCAUGGCCCUUAUGGGUAGGGCUUCACACGUCAUACAAUGGUCGGGACAGAGGGUCGCCAACCCGCGAGGGGGAGCCAAUCUCAGAAACCCGAUCGUAGUCCGGAUCGCAGUCUGCAACUCGACUGCGUGAAG